AGGACAAACGCUGGCGGCGUGCCUAAGACAUGCAAGUCGAACGGAAGGCUUCGGCCUUUAGUGGCGGACGGGUGAGGAGCGCGUGGAGAACCUGCCCCGGGGUGGGGAUAACAGUCGGAAACGAUUGCUAAGACCGCAUACGACCAUUCGUUGCAGGAUGAAUGGGGAAAGCAGCGAUGUGCCCUGGGAGGGCUCCGCGUCGGAUUAGCUAGUUGGUGGGGUAACGGCCUACCAAGGCUGCGAUCCGUAGCUGGUCUGAGAGGACGGCCAGCCACACUGGGACUGAGACACGGCCCAGACUCCUACGGGAGGCAGCAGUUAGGGAAUUUUUGUCAAUGGGCGAAAGCCUGAACGAGUGACGCCGCGUGCGGGAUGACGCCUUUCGGGGUGUAAACCGCUUUUCCCAAGGACGAGGAUGGACGGUACUUGGGGAAUAAGUCUCGGCUAACUACGUGCCAGCAGCCGC
rnacentral:rRNA from 1 species